rnacentral:rRNA from 1 species
CUACGGGUGGCUGCAGUGGGGAAUAUUGCACAAUGGGCGCAAGCCUGAUGCAGCCAUGCCGCGUGUAUGAAGAAGGCCUUCGGGUUGUAAAGUACUUUCAGCGGGGAGGAAGGGAGUAAAGUUAAUACCUUUGCUCAUUGACGUUACCCGCAGAAGAAGCACCGGCGAACUCCGUGCCAGCAGCCGCGGUAAUACGGAGGGUGCAAGCGUUAAUCGGAAUUACUGGGCGUAAAGCGCACGCAGGCGGUUUGUUAAGUCAGAUGUGAAAUCCCCGGGCUCAACCUGGGAACUGCAUCUGAUACUGGCAAGCUUGAGUCUCGUAGAGGGGGGUAGAAUUCCAGGUGUAGCGGUGAAUGCGUAGAGAUCUGGAGGAAUACCGGUGGCGAAGGCGGCCCCCUGGACGAAGACUGACGCUCAGGUGCGAAAGCGUGGGGAGCAAACAGGAUUAGAUACCCGCGUAGUC